GAUGAACGCUGGCGGCGUGCCUAAUACAUGCAAGUCGAGCGAACAGAUGAGGAGCUUGCUCCUCUGACGUUAGCGGCGGACGGGUGAGUAACACGUGGAUAACCUACCUAUAAGACUGGGAUAACUUCGGGAAACCGGAGCUAAUACCGGAUAAUAUAUUGAACCGCAUGGUUCAAUAGUGAAAGACGGUUUUGCUGUCCCUUAUAGAUGGAUCCCCGCCGCAUUAGCUAGUUGGUAAGGUAACGGCUUACCAAGGCGACGAUGCGUAGCCGAUCUGAGAGGAUGAUCAGUCACACUGGAAAGGAGACACGGUCCAGACUCCUACGGGAGGCAGCAGUGGGGAAUAUUGCCCAAUGGGGGAAAGCCUGAUCGAGCCAACCCGCGUGGGUGAAGAAGGUCUUUGGGUUGUAAAACCCUUUUAUUUGGGAAGAAAAGAAGUAGGUUAAAACCUUGCUGUUUUGACGGUACCCAAAGAAGAAGCCCCGGCUAACUUCGUG
rnacentral:rRNA from 1 species